rnacentral:misc_RNA from 1 species
UACGUAGGUGGCAAGCGUUGUCCGGAAUUAUUGGGCGUAAAGCGCGCGCAGGCGGACGGCUAAGUCAGAUGUGAAAUCCCGGGGCUCAACCCCGGAACUGCGUCUGAAACUGGUCGUCUAGAAUCUCGGAGAGGAAAGGGGAAUUUCGCAUGUAGGGGUAAAAUCCGUAGAGAUGCGAAGGAACACCAGAGGCGAAGGCGCCUUUCUGGACGAGUAUUGACGCUGAGGCGCGAAAGCGUGGGGAGCAAACAGG